ACACAGAUAUGCAGUCCAUAGUGCUGCUCCUUAUCAACUUGUAGUUAGUAAGGACAAAGUAUAUCAACGUUACCAGACCACAUCUCUGGAUUAUUCACAGAGUCUGCUAUUUCUGUUUGUACUACCAGACCUGAGAAUAUUUAUGGCUCCCAUUCCUGCUGACUUCUGCUUUGGGUCAAUUGUGUGAGUAUACCAGCACCAAGCUUCUCAGUGUUUACUCACCCUCUGUUGCCUCAUCUGACUGAGCGUCCCUAAUUGUACAGCGAAGGUACAGGCUUGGAAGGCAUGAAAAUGUUGGCAUAUAGAGAAGUGUCAAAUACCUAGGGGUGAUAAGAGUGCUGCGUUUAGAAGACAAAUGAUAGGAGAUAAAUUGGUCCUGGAGGUUGGGGCUUCUUACAGAAUUGGGGGCCUCUGAAUCUAAAACUUGUGCUCUUAACUGUUCUCCAUUAUUUCCCCCAGCUGGCCUAUUAAACAUCAUCUAUAAAAAAAUCUAUAAUCUAGUUUAGAAACUAGCUUACUCAAAGACACAGAAGUUUGCUC
rnacentral:lncRNA from 1 species